AGGUCUCAGAUUGCCCGCAUCACAAUGAAAUAAGCUUACGGAAGAUUCUGAAGUCUGAAAACCUGUGUGGCAGACAUACAGGCUGAUCGUUCAGUCUCCAUCCAAACUGGGGCACUAGAGGCAGGGCAAAAGAGGUGGGCACUAAAAAUAAUUACAGGUGCAGGGGUAUCUGGUAAGCUCAGAGCAAAUUCAGCUCUACAGAGAACGUGUUCACGGCUAGUUUUUCUCCACAUUGAGACAUGUAAAUAUUUCACCCAAAUGCAUUUAUGGAGACUGGCUUCUUGUUUCUGUCCUGAGAAGCUUUCUUUGGCAAAUACUCCGACGAGGAUGAAAUUGUGAAAGUGGUAUUUCUAGGUCAUAAAUUGGACUGAAAACAUUGAACCUUUCUUGGCGUUCACCGACUUCCCGUCUGAAGUAUCUGAGGACAUGGGUUAAGAUUGGCUCCCUUUACCAGUUUGCCAAAUCCUUCUUCUGCUGGUGGCACUGACUUAUUAACAGCUAACGGCUGGCCUUUCACACGUGCACAAGAAAAAUUAGAAUCUGAAAUGAGCCUGCUGAGUUUGGAAGGACGGAGGGUAACCUAAAAGAAAAGUCAUGCCUCCAGGUGAGAUGUGCAAGAGACCUUCUGCAGCCACACGUGGUAAAAUCCUGUCUUUGGGCAAAGCCCUCCUCAAGGGACCACUGAUGUUGGAGGCAGAAGCUUCUGUGUGAUCCGUGUCCUUGCGAGGGCCUGCGGACAACAUGAAUGAGCAUUUUUGCCAACUAUAGCUUCCGCGUAAUUGUAAUGACCUCGAGAAAUUCAGCGCUUGGUUUUCGAUAAACGUGUACUUUCAUUAUUUUAGCUCAUGGCUGCCAAAGGGCUUUAUUGCAAAAUUUUAAAAGCAUUAGCAAACAAUAAAAGAAGCACUUGGUUGUGUCUUUA